rfam:Chlorocebus sabaeus isolate 1994-021 chromosome 21, whole genome shotgun sequence.
GCCAGUCGUGGCGGCGCUCAUCUGUAAUCCCAGCUACUCGGGAGGCUGAGGCAGGAGAAUCACUUGAACCCGGGAGGCGGAGGUUGCAGUGAACCGAGAUCAUGUCCCUGCACUCCAGCCUGGGCAACAAGAGCAAAAACUCCGUCUCAAAAAAAAAAGAAGAAGAAGAAGAAGAAGAAGACAGAGUCUGGCUCUGUCGCCCAGGCUGGAGUGCAGUGGCAUCAUCUCGGCUCACUGCAACCUCCGCCUCCCGGGUUCAAGUGAUUGCUCUGCCUCAG